UACGUAGGGCGCAAGCGUUGUCCGGAAUUAUUGGGCGUAAAGAGCUCGUAGGCGGCUUGUCACGUCGGGUGUGAAAGCCCGGGGCUUAACCCCGGGUCUGCAUUCGAUACGGGCUAGCUAGAGUGUGGUAGGGGAGAUCGGAAUUCCUGGUGUAGCGGUGAAAUGCGCAGAUAUCAGGAGGAACACCGGUGGCGAAGGCGGAUCUCUGGGCCAUUACUGACGCUGAGGAGCGAAAGCGUGGGGAGCGAACCGG
rnacentral:rRNA from 1 species